UUUCCGUAAGUGAACCUGCGGAAGGAUCAUUAUUGUAUAACCGAGGUGCGAGGGCUGUCGCUGACCCGAAAGGUCGUGCACGCCCGAGUGCCCUCACACACAUCCAUCUCACCCCUAUGUGCACCACCGCGUGGGUCCCCCUUUGGCUUGUUCGGAGGGGGGCUUACGUCUUCACACAAACUUUGUAUGCAGUGUAGAAUGUAUUUUUUGUUUUUGCGAUCACGCAAUCAAUACAACUCUCAACAACGGAUCUCUUGGCUCUCGCAUCGAUGAAGAACGAGC
rnacentral:misc_RNA from 1 species